rnacentral:misc_RNA from 1 species
GAAAUGCGAUAAGUAAUGUGAAUUGCAGAAUUCAGUGAAUCAUCAAAUCUUUGAACGUACAUUACGCUUUCUGGUAUUCCGGAAAGCAUGCCUGUUUGAGAAUCGAUAAAACCUAUCACCCCAAGCUCAUUGAUCUUGGGAUGGAACUGAGAUGAUUUGUCCCAAGGUCCAACCACUGGAACAUUUCAACUUGAAAUGGAUUGUUUGGCACCACCUUCCAAGGUUCCAUGACCCAAAGAUAUAAUGUAGAAAUACUUUAACACUUUGCAAGUCUGGCAUUACCAAUGGAUGUGAACGCUAUGCUUCCCCAUAACUUCAGGUGCAACCCUGAAUUACUUGAUCUCAAAUCAGGCAAGAGGACCCGCUGAACUUAA